rnacentral:miRNA from 1 species
AAUCUCUAACGAAUGAUCAGACUAAAAUCCAAAAUUGUAAAAUGAUUUAACUUUUAGAUCAUUUUACGAUUUUGGAUUUUAGUCUGAUCAUUCGUUAGA